CUAAAACUGUACGGACCUUACUGGGUUGCCAUUGGAUAGUUUCACAUAUGCAUAUGCACUUAAGGUUUAUGUGGUUUCCAAGAUGUCAGCCUGUCCUCUCCUGAAGGGUAAGGAGAUUCACACUUGAGGCUUAUGUGAUUUCCAAGAUGUCAGUCUGCCCUCUCCAGAAGGGUAAAGAGAUUAAUGCCCACAUUUUGCAACAUGGAUAUGAAAAUAUUCAUUCCAUGACAACUCUGCUGGAUGUAUAUACUAAGUUUGGCAGUGUUAUCAUCAUUUGCAAAUUAUGCCCUUUGUGCAAUGCCUGUCAAGAACUUUGAAACACACCGUUUCAUUUAAAAAAUAAAAUAAUAAUAGUAUAAUAAAAACACAAUCACCUUCCUUUUUUAAGAACACCCGAGACUUUCCCCCUCCCAACUCCUUCGUGCUUCUUUCUUUUUUUCUAACAGCAACACCCUUUCUCCUCUCCAAUCCACCUUUAUCUUCCUCUCAUUUUCUUACUUUCUCCUCCAUAGAUUCACAAUUUCUUGCACCCAUGAGGCAUGUGAUUUGAGGAUGGAGGUACAAUAUCCAUCUCUUAAAACAUUCUCUACUUGAGUUUUUUGAGGCCUCCAUUGCAUAUAAUGGAGAACAUAUUUUGGUAACUUCAAUAUGAUGCAACUAUAGGGAUAUGGGUAGAAAUAGAAAAUGAGAAAAUCCUUUUAUUUUGAGUUAUAGAUGAUCUUUUCAUAGAAAUAUGUUAGUGAUGUAAUUAUGAUAUUUUAAGACACUUAGAUGAUUACUAUGUAAGACUUAUAUUACUAUUAGUUGGUGUGUUGAAUCAAGGGCCUAUGUUGUGAUA